rnacentral:rRNA from 1 species
UCGGUGACAGGUGGUGCAUGGUUGUCGUCAGCUCGUGUCGUGAGAUGUUGGGUUUAAGUCCCGCAACGAGCGCAACCCCUAUUGUUAGUUGCCAUCAUUCAUUGGGCACUCUAGAGGGGACUGCCGGGCGACAAGUCGGAGGAAGUGGGAUGACGUCAAUCAUCAUGCCCCUUAUGACCUGGGCUACACACGUGCUACAAUGGGCGGUACAAAGGGCUGCGAACCCGCGAGGGGAGCGAAUCCCAAAAAGCCGCUCUCAGUUCGGAUUGCAGGCUGCAACUCGCCUGCAUGAAGCCGGAAUCGCUAGUAAUCGCGGAUCAGCAUGCCGCGGUGAAUACGUUCCCGGGCCUU